GAUGAACGCUGGCGGCGUGCCUAAUACAUGCAAGUCGAGCGAACAGACGAGGAGCUUGCUCCUUUGACGUUAGCGGCGGACGGGUGAGUAACACGUAGGUAACCUACCUAUAAGACUGGGAUAACUUCGGGAAACCGGAGCUAAUACCGGAUAAUAUUUCGAACCGCAUGGUUCGAUAGUGAAAGAUGGCUUUGCUAUCACUUAUAGAUGGACCUGCGCCGUAUUAGCUAGUUGGUAAGGUAACGGCUUACCAACGCAACGAUACGUAGCCGACCUGAGAGGGUGAUCGGCCACACUGGAACUGAGACACGGUCCAGACUCCUACGGGAGGCAGCAGUAGGGAAUCUUCCGCAAUGGGCGAAAGCCUGACGGAGCAACGCCGCGUGAGUGAUGAAGGUCUUCGGAUCGUAAAACUCUGUUAUUAGGGAAGAACAAACGUGUAGUAACUGUGCACGUCUUGACGGUACCUAAUCAGAAAGCCACGGCUAACUACGUG
rnacentral:rRNA from 1 species